rnacentral:rRNA from 1 species
ACUGCAGUCUGCAACUCGACUGCACGAAGCUGGAAUCGCUAGUAAUCGCGAAUCAGAAUGUCGCGGUGAAUACGUUCCCGGGUCUUGUACACACCGCCCGUCACACCAUGAGAGUUGGCAAUACCCAACGUACGUGAUCUAACCCGCAAGGGAGGAAGCGUCCUAAGGUAGGGUCAGCGAUUGGGGUGAAGUCGUAACAAGGUAAC